rnacentral:rRNA from 1 species
CGGUGUGUUUAAUACAUGCAAGUCGAGCGGCCAUUUAUGGCAGCGGCGAACGGGUGAGUAACGCGUUGGGAUCUGCCCCGAACUCAGGGAUAACAUCGAGAAAUCGGUGCUAAUACCGGAUAGUCUCGCAAGAGUAAAGAUUUUUCGGUUCGGGAGGAACCUGCGUCCUAUUAGCUAGUUGGUAAGGUAACGGCUUACCAAGGCGAUGAUGGGUAGCUGGUCUGAGAGGAUGAUCAGCCACAAUGGGACUGAGACACGGCCCAUACUCC